AUUGAACGCUGGCGGCAUGCCUUACACAUGCAAGUCGAACGGUAACAGGUCUUCGGAUGCUGCCGAGUGGCGAACGGGUGAGUAAUACAUCGGAACGUGCCCGAUCGUGGGGGAUAACGGAGCGAAAGCUUUGCUAAUACCGCAUACGAUCUACGGAUGAAAGCAGGGGACCGCAAGGCCUUGCGCGGACGGAGCGGCCGAUGGCAGAUUAGGUAGUUGGUGGGAUAAAAGCUUACCAAGCCGACGAUCUGUAGCUGGUCUGAGAGGACGACCAGCCACACUGGGACUGAGACACGGCCCAGACUCCUACGGGAGGCAGCAGUGGGGAAUUUUGGACAAUGGGCGAAAGCCUGAUCCAGCCAUGCCGCGUGCAGGAUGAAGGCCUUCGGGUUGUAAACUGCUUUUGUACGGAACGAAAAGACUCUUUCUAAUAAAGAGGGUCCAUGACGGUACCGUAAGAAUAAGCACCGGCUAACUACGUG
rnacentral:rRNA from 1 species